CCUACGGGAGGCUGCAGUGGGGAAUAUUGCACAAUGGGGGAAACCCUGAUGCAGCAACGCCGCGUGAGCGAAGAAGGCCUUCGGGUCGUAAAGCUCUGUCCUAAGGGAAGAAAAUUGACGGUACCUUAGGAGGAAGCCCCGGCUAACUACGUGCCAGCAGACGCGGUAAUAAGUAGGGGGCGAGCGUAAUCCGGAAUCGCUGGGCGUAAAGGGGGCGGAGGCGGCUAAGUAAGCCAGGGGUGAAAGGCUAUGGCUCAACCGAAGUAAGCGUUUGGAACUACUUAGCCUGAGUGCAGGAGAGGGGAGUGGAAUUCCUAGGGUAGCGGUGAAAUGCGUAGAUAUUAGGAGGAACACCAGUGGCGAAGGCGACUCUCUGGACUGUAACUGACGCUGAGGAACGAAAGCGUGGGGAGCAAACAGGAUUAGAUACCCGAGUAGUC
rnacentral:rRNA from 1 species